GGACUUAAACAACAGUUACCGUACUAUCAACGAAAUUAAGCAACGUUGAGCCUGGUCAGUACUUAGUUGGGUGACCGCUUGGGAAUACCAGGUGUUGUAAG
rnacentral:rRNA from 1 species